GGUGAGAUGGUGCUAGAGCAGUAGGGGGCAUGUGUCCUCAUGGUACAGUAUGUGGUCAGGUGACCUAGAGGCUCCUAAUCCUAGUAUCUCCCGCAGUGGGGUUCCAGGUAGAGUUUUUGGAGUUGCUCUUUCACUUCCAUGGAACACUACGAAAACUGCAGCUCCAAGAGCCUGAGUAUGUGCUCUUGGCUGCCAUGGCCCUCUUCUCUCCUGGUGAGCAUCCCCCAAAGCCCAGAGCCUUUUGCACCACCUCUGCCCAAACACUCAGCUCCUUGAGUCCAUCCACCCAGGCCUUCUAGCCUAACCGUCAAACCUGCAGACUAGGUCUAUCCCAGCCUCAGUCCCCGGGGCACCAUGCAGGCCCACCCCUGCCACCCACCUUGUCCUUCCCAGCUCCCUAUCUUACAGACCGACCUGGAGUUACCCAGAGAGAUGAGAUUGAUCAGCUGCAAGAGGAGAUGGCACUGACUCUGCAAAGCUACAUCAAGGGCCAGCAGCGAAGGCCCCGGGAUCGGUUUCUGUAUGCGAAGUUGCUGGGCCUGCUGGCUGAGCUCCGGAGCAUUAAUGAGGCCUACGGGUACCAAAUCCAGCACAUCCAGGGCCUGUCUGCCAUGAUGCCGCUGCUCCAGGAGAUCUGCAGCUGAGGCCAGGCUCACUUCCUUCCCCAGCUCACCUGGGACACCCUGGAUACACUGGAGUGGGAAAAUGCUGGGACCAAAGAUUGGGCCAGGUUCAAAGGGAGCCCAGUGGUUGCAAUGAAA
rnacentral:sRNA from 1 species